GAGUUUGAUCGUGGCUCAGAGCGAACGCUGGCGGCAGGCCUAAUACAUGCAAGUCGAACGGAUCCUUCGGGAUUAGUGGCGGACGGGUGAGUAACACGUGGGAACGUGCCUUUUGGUUCGGAACAACUCAGGGAAACUUGAGCUAAUACCGAAUGUGCCCUUCGGGGGAAAGAUUUAUCGCCAUUAGAGCGGCCCGCGUCUGAUUAGCUAGUUGGUGGGGUAAAGGCCCACCAAGGCUACGAUCAGUAGCUGGUCUGAGAGGAUGAUCAGCCACACUGGGACUGAGACACGGCCCAGACUCCUACGGGAGGCAGCAGUAGGGAAUCUUGCGCAAUGGGCGAAAGCCUGACGCAGCCAUGCCGCGUGAAUGAUGAAGGUCUUAGGAUUGUAAAAUUCUUUCAGCGGGACGAUAAUGACGGUACCCGCAGAAGAAGCCCCGGUCUAACUUCGUGCCAGCAGCCGCAGU
rnacentral:rRNA from 1 species